UACGUAGGGUGCGAGCGUUAAUCGGAAUUACUGGGCGUAAAGCGCGCGUAGGCGGUUCGUUAAGUCAAAUGUGAAAUCCCCCGAGCUUAACUUGGGAAUUGCAUUCGAUACUGGCGAGCUAGAGUAUGGGGAGAGGAAGGUAGAAUUCCAGGUGUAGCGGUGAAAUGCGUAGAGAUCUGGAGGAAUACCGAUGGCGAAGGCAGCCUUCUGGCCUAAUACUGACGCUGAGGUGCGAAAGCAUGGGGGAGCAAACAGG
rnacentral:rRNA from 1 species